ACAUAAGAUUAUGACUUCUAUCUUGCUAGUAGACCCUCUCCAUUAACUCUCUCUCUUUCUGAUUGAGUGUAAGCUGCUAUAUGAAGGGAUCCACAAGACGAAUAAUUAAGGGGGACCUCUGAUCAACAGCCAGCAAGGAACUGAAUCCCUCAGACCCACAACUCACAAGAAACUGAAGCUGAAGCAGAUUCUUCCUCAGUCAAGCUUCAGGACCUGCUUUGCAGAAAGGAUCUCAUUGAGAAUAGCAAAAGGAAGUUGGGAACCAUUACAGUGCCCAGCUGUAUUGGUAGAGGAGACCAACCACACCCUCCACAGCACAGCACCUGGAGAGGAACUGCUGCCAUGACCAUAGAGGACACCCUCUGGAUACAAUGCCAGACUUGAUGUGGGACUGACCAACCUAUGGACCCCAGGCACCACCACCCAGACCUGCUCAGCACCUGAAACAUUCACAGCCGUGGAGAGAGAACUGUUCACUGCUACCAUCCACACUUCUGGGCCCCUUCAGCAGCAGGGUGACAAGGAAGAGGGAAAUCGACUUGGAAAAGAGGGGACCUCUGACCCAAGAGUUCGGUCAAUGCAUAUGUUGGCAGCCAGCUGCACAUCGCACCAAAUAUGAACUUCAAAUAGAAGAAAGCCUCAUUUGGAAGAAAGCUCAUGCACAGACUGUAAAUAUUUCAGAGCAGAUUGUGUCUCUGUAGAUUAAGUAAGUUGUGAAAGUCUGAACCUCUGCCAAAAUUUUAAGACCUUGACCUUUACAUCUCUGAGUUUCUAUCUGUCAUUUUUCCUUUCUAUCUGUCAUUUUACCUUUCAUACUUAUAAAAUGGAAUUCAUAAUCUUCUCAGCCUACCAAGUGUUAGUGUUCUAGGGAUUCAGAUAAAAUAUGUAUGAAAUUACUUUGAAUUACCUAAAA
rnacentral:lncRNA from 1 species